CUGGCGGCGUGCCUAACACAUGCAAGUCGAACGAGAUCCAUGGGAGCUUGCUCCCGGAAGAUCUAGUGGCGAACGGGUGAGUAACACGUGAGAAACCUGCCCUGGAGUGGGAAUAACUCGGGGAAACUCGAGCUAAUACCGCAUACCCUCGGAUGGUCGCAUGGCCGACCGAGGAAAGAUUUAUCGCUCUAGGAGGGUCUCGCGGCCUAUCAGCUAGUUGGUGGGGUAACGGCCUACCCAAGGCAACGACGGGUAGCUGGUUUGAGAGAACGAUCAGCCACACUGGGACUGAGACACGGCCCAGACUCCUACGGGAGGCAGCAGUGGGGAAUCUUGCGCAAUGGGCGAAAGCCUGACGCAGCAACGCCGCGUGCGGGAUGACGGCCUUCGUGGUUGUAAACCGCUUUCAGCAGGGACGAAAAUGACGGUACCUGCAGAAGAAGCCCCGGCUAACUACGUG
rnacentral:rRNA from 1 species